UAUGAUCCGAGCAACCUUCCGCUUCAAAGACUGAAUAAGCACUCGUGAAUCUUAGCAACACUUCUUCAUUCAUAAGUACUCGAUCCAACUUCUUACAAAUUACCCCUCCAUCUAUUUUAUUACACCAAGUGAACAAUGGCCCUUGAUAACCCAUAUCUGUGAGUUUACAGUGGAGCACCAUUCUUUGAAAAUCCCUCAUACCACUUGGUAGUCUUCCUAAGCUUUCAAACCCCGAACUCUCCUCCGCAUCCAAAAUCUCAUUAAAAUCGCCAACUAUAAACCAAGCCUUAUUACGAAACAACGCAAAGUAUUAGUGGUGACAGAGAUCUUCCCACAACCCCUUCCUACCUUCAUCCAUUUUAUUUGCAUAGACACAUGUGAAGAAAAAUUCUUCCUUGUCCAACAACCCAACGGAACAUGUUAUUAGCUGAUCAGUUGUAUACACCGGUGUCAUACAAACCCCAUCACGCCAGACCAACCAUAUUCUCUCACGUUGACUAUGCUCGUAGUUAGUCAUAUGAGACCACUGACUAAACACCUUAUUUAGAAUACCUUCCGCUUUACUCUCAUUUACC
rnacentral:lncRNA from 1 species